AGAACGAACGCUGGCGGCACGCCUAACACAUGCAAGUCGAGCGCCCAGCAAUGGGAGCGGCGGACGGGUGAGUAACACGUGGGAAUAUGCCUUUCGGUACGGAACAACUCAGGGAAACUUGAGCUAAUGCCGUAUACGCCCUUACGGGGAAAGAUUUAUCGCCGAAAGAUUAGCCCGCGUCUGAUUAGCUAGUUGGUGAGGUAAUGGCUCACCAAGGCUUCGAUCAGUAGCUGGUUUGAGAGAACGACCAGCCACACUGGGACUGAGACACGGCCCAGACUCCUACGGGAGGCAGCAGUGGGGAAUCUUGGACAAUGGGGGAAACCCUGAUCCAGCGAUGCCGCGUGAGUGAUGAAGGCCUUCGGGUUGUAAAACUCUUUCGACGGGACGAUAAUGACGGUACCCGUAGAGAAGCUCCGGCUAACUUCGUGCCAGCAGCCGC
rnacentral:rRNA from 1 species